CACCUUUUAACCCUCUAAAAAUAUCUAUUUGCUGCAAAAACUCCAAAUCUAUUUUUACCUGGCACUCUACUACUUCACCCACCUAACAAAACUUGUUUCACUAUUUUAGUACCUUUCCACAAUUUCUGGCACAAAUAAACAGACAUCAGACAAAAGAAAAUACUAAAUAUAUAAACAGCUGUGGGCAAGAACUGACUCAACUGGCCCAACUCUAAACAACACCAGCAGUCAAGCAGUGCUUACGGCUUUAGGCUCCAGCUUCGCGCUCCCUCUGCGCGCUGGCUGCAACGCCAAACUCCGGCAACAACAACACGGAACACGACGCAGUAGAGUUCCAAUCAGCAACUGGGUAGCAUCAGUGGCUCACCACGAAGCGGAACAACCCAUGAGCGUGCUCGCAACCAGCUCCAGACUAGGUCCGCCAUGGUGAGGUCAUUCCAGACGGUGUUCACCGACGGCGCCACGGCGUUCUCCAAGUCCUGGCCACGGAGGGGCGAGACGCCGGCAGCGUGAUCACAAUUUCAAAGACAACGACAACAAACGGCAGUCUCGGACAGCGGCGUAAUCUGGUUUUACACGAACGUGGGGCACAGACAUGGGAAACAUGUCGGUGAGUUGGCUAGAAACUAGAAGACGGCCGAGAAACACCUUAGGCGAGUUUGGUCACGGCGACAUAGAGAUAACAAAGAUUGUCCACCCACUGGUCACGGUGAAGCUUAUCCCAGGGGGAACUACAUACAAGCACUACCAACAGCUUACACGAGCAUGGACACGCGACUUUAUUACAUAAGCACCACGCAGGAUCAGUACACGACGAAACAACAGACUUGGGCUCGUAGUGGUCAAACCAGAGACAACAAGCAAGGUGGGUGCCGUCUUGGAUAAGCUCAGGUCCAUCCUAGGCGUAGAUAUUUGGAACCUUAAUACACUCGCUUACCCCUGGUGCCAAAACUCACCCACAUCCCAAUCUAACCGGCAGCAACUGGAACAUAGCAGUAGUGGAUAAGCUCCGUACUGGUCUCUUCUUAGAUCACUAAACCAAGCUCCAAACCUAAUGAGUUUGAACUCACACUGACCACCUGCACCUUUCCGAUUCACUCCCCUUUAUCUUACUAUUUUCAAAGGCAACAGGUCAACCAAGGCUAACAAAGUAUGCUCACAAAACAAAACUCUACCAACUCACUAUAGAAAUUCAGGGUUAAAAGCACACAGAUCAAAAGUUGCUAUGCCCCAAAAUCCCUCCAAACUCACUGAACUUUCUGUUUCAGUUAUCUGAAACAAGAACCUGAUAAGGAACAUUUUGAGACAAUUUACCCCCAAUUUUGUACAGCACCAAGGCACACCCACUUCAAGAGACUUGUUCACCUUGAUAUGGUAUUUCAUUUUUAUAUAGAAUUUUUAACCCAAAUAUCCUUGGUUUAAUUACCACAAAGCUCCAAAGGUGGGUAAAAACACAUAGAUUCAGACUUAGAUGUUUUACUGUCUGAAAAUCCCCAACACCUGACAACUGAUCUUUAGGCAAAAAUUACUCUACUUUUUAUGCAGCACCAUGUUAAUCUCACCUUAUGAAACGUAUUCACCAUACUGUGGUCUCCAAGUUUCCUAUAGAAACUACAGUCUAAAACCACUCAUAUUGAUAACAAAACAGCUCCAAACUGAGCAACCUGCUGCAAUUCAAU
rnacentral:lncRNA from 1 species